UAUUGGUCAAUGGACGCAAGUCUGAACCAGCUAUGCCGCGUGAAGGAUUAAGGUCCUCUGGAUUGUAAACUUCUCUCCCCCUCGGACGAAAAAAGGUCUUUCUAGAUCACUUGACGGUACCAGAUGAAUAAGCACCGGCUAACUCCGUGCCAGCAGCCGCGGUAAUACGGAGGGUGCAAGCGUUAUCCGGAUUCACUGGGUUUAAAGGGUGCGUAGGCGGGCAGGUAAGUCAGUGGUGAAAUCCUGGAGCUCAACUCCAGAACUGCCAUUGAUACUAUCUGUCUUGAAUAUUGUGGAGGUAAGCGGAAUAUGUCAUGUAGCGGUGAAAUGCUUAGAUAUGACAUAGAACACCCAUUGCGAAGGGAGCUUACUACGCAUAUAUUGACGCUGAGGCACGAAA
rnacentral:rRNA from 1 species